rnacentral:rRNA from 1 species
GUCCCGCAACGAGCGCAACCCUCGCCCUGUGUUGCCAGCACGUCGUGGUGGGAACUCACGGGGGACCGCCGGGGUCAACUCGGAGGAAGGUGGGGAUGACGUCAGAUCAUCAUGCCCCUUACGUCCAGGGCUUCACGCAUGCUACAAUGGCCGGUACAACGGGAUGCGACACUGCGAGGUGGAGCGGAUCCCUAAAACCGGUCUCAGUUCGGAUUGGAGUCUGCAACCCGACUCCAUGAAGGCGGAGUCGCUAGUAAUCGCGGAUCAGCAACGCCGCGGUGAAUGCGUUCCCGGGCCUUGUACACACCGCCCGUCAAGUCAUGAAAGUGGGUAGCACCCGAAGCCGGUGGCCCAACCUUUUGGGGGGAGCCGUCUAAGGUGAGACUCGUGAUUGGGACUAAGUCGUAACAAGGUAGCCGUACCGGAAGGUGCGGCUGGAUCACCUCCUUU